GCCACGCCGAGAUCUCCGGUUUACCCCGAGACCAACAAAGUCAUAUUGGGUUUUUCUUAAUAUCACAUCCCGCACCUGGAACAACAGGCUUAACCUCUAUUACAGAGCCGAUAAAAUGUUUGUUAGACCUCUGCCCCAAACCGUUGAGAAGGGAAGUCAUGAUGCAUUAUUAUAACAUGACAUUGUAACGUUCGCAGAGCAUAGAACAACGUAUCGUAGAGGAAUACAGGCGCGUGAACAACGACACCGCGUACCAGCAGCAGAGGCGGCGCGUCAACUACCUAGACCGCAAACUCACGCACAUCAAGCGGAUGGUGUACCAAUACGAUCAGUUGCGCAACCUGAAGCCGGAGCGCGUGGCGGCGGCGAGCACGACGCAGGCGUACUGACACGCGGGCCGCUCGCCGCCCGCCCGCAGCCUGUAGAGCACCACGCCGGACACAUGCAUCGACACAAUAUGAUGGACGAUUUACAUACUUACCAACGUAAGCUCUAUAGUUUUUAUACGAGUCAGUGUCUCCCGUUGAGUGACAGAUGUUGAUCGAUUUUUUAUACGGACGUAAUUAGGCCUUUGGAAGUAGUCUUCGAUGGUUCUGUCAAAGCCGCGCUGACUGUUAUUGUUACAUGGAUGCGGAAUGUGGCCGAACGUUCUGUUCGACAUUCUGUGCGAAGUGCGCGCCGUUCCGAAUAACUUAUGUGCAUUAUGGUGAUAUAAAUGUUCUAAAAUAUAUUUGUAAUCGUAACGCUGUGAAGUUAACGCUACUUAUUAUUCGGGGCGGUGACGUAGAUACUUUGUUUAGUUGGAAAGAACGUUCCGCAAACAUAAUAUUAUAUGUACUAAAAGCCGGUUCGCGGGUUGUGUUGACGUGUGCGUUGUAAAUUGUUAUAAAAUAAAUAAUUUAUUAUUGAAUGCGGAAACGUGAUGUCGCGCGUUGUUUACAUGCGCGGAUGUUUUCGCUGUUUCUUGCUACGUCACGUGUGGGUGACAUUGUUGCGCCGGCGCGGCACGUCGCUGCGGAGCCGGAAGCGUCGGAUGUUAAUGAACUUCAAAAUAUUACCCUCUAGACACGCGAUGCACACAGGGCGGCCUGCCAACUUGGCUUCUCACAACUAGAUUGUACAUCAUGGUUAAGGUGAUUGUUCUGUAUUAGUCAUUCAAAUAGAUAAGAGAAUAAAUUAUGUUACAUAGAUUGUCUAUAUUAAGUUAUAUUGUUCUUCCAUUAAUUUUAACAAUGAUCCUUAACCAUACGAUAUGUGACCACGCGCGUGUAUCGCCAUUCCGGACAUGAGAACCCAUACUGGUUAAAAAUAUUUUUCACUGUUGAUUAUAUUGAUGAAUAUAUUGUGUAUUGUAUUCGCCUGUUUCUACCUUGUACUUGUUUCUUUCUGUUGUACAAUAUCAUUAAUUCAUAUCUAUACAAAUGGUGUUUGAAUGAACCAAUUUUAUAUGAAAGAAGCAAGACAGGUGUUAUAGUUGUACUUCGCUAUCGGGCUGAUUGAGUCGCGCUGACCGAUAAGGAGUCAUGUGACCCUCGGCCGGUGUACUGUACGCAGUACAUUGUACACGCAGUCGACGCUCGAUAGUGGAGUUUCGAGUUUAAUGUCAUUGUUUGUCAUUGCCAUCGGACGCCGUUACAUCACCGUCUCGGCAGUCGGUGACAAUGACGAACGAACGUUACACUAUAGAUCAAUAUUCUAUAUUUCUUAUCGAAACUUUAAUUAGUCCGGUUGUUUUAUCAUGUAAAUAGUAUAUUAUGUAUAUUGAAAAGAAAAAGUUAUCAAGUAUAUAAUAGUCCAAUAGUAGAUACAUAUAUGUUCGUCCACAUUAUAUUCCAUUCGAAAAUUAUUGCCGUCUAAUGUUAUCGUUGUCCAAUGAAUUUUCGCUUAUACUGUUUGCUGAAUUAUUUUUACUACUUCUCUUAUUGCAAGAUCUGCGUGUAAAUAUCCGUGCCGUUUCAAUGAAAGGUGAACUUCUACAAUUCUAAGAAGUCAAUUCGUAUGACUGUUGGUCUUCGUACAAACAAUUAUAUUGCCCUUUUUAUAAUAUUUAAUCCGAUAUCGUCCUUUCGCUUCUAAAAAUCCAUCCAUUUUUUAAUGUUGGACGUUCAUUUUAUUUUGUCUUGCCCAGCUUGCAUGUUGUAUAUAGUAGUAUCAUAUAAAAAAAAGAUAUAUCAUGUUCUUGUUAAAUUUUGUUAUGGGUAGUAUAUGUUCAGGUUUAUUUUUCGAAAUAUUAUUUAUUAGCUUUGAUUAGUGUUGCGUCGUCGUCGAGUGAUGAUUUUGUAUAUACCGCGGGGCUUUAAAACGUUGUCAUCGUCACAAAGACAAAUGCAAUGUGGUGGAAUUAACGCGUGUUUGUUUUGUAAUUCGGCCACGAUACAACAUUAUUCUGGGCACAAGCGGUCGACGUAUUUGCCAAAAUCGUGAAACGUAUAAUUGAUUUGAAUUUGCCAAAUAAAACGUUUUUUGAUAUGUUAGCAACAACCGGCCAGUGUUAAACAUCCAUUAGAAAUAAGAUAUUACUCUGGUCCUUUUCGGAAAACCCUCCAGAUCACAAUAAAAUUCUUAGUAAUUUUAGUAUACUUGGGCCAGUGGACAGCUUGAUUAUUGAAACGUUAAAGCGAGGCUUUAAAACUAUGGAGCGUAAAGAUCUAAAUUCCAAAUAUAAAGCUGGCCUGAUCUUUUGAAAAGCCGUCUUACAUAAUAUUUUGUCCUGAGAGUAACGUCCAUAUUUGAAAAUGAUUUAGCGUUAAGUAAUUCUGAUUUUAAUUAUUAAAAAUGCAGUCCUUUUUUCCAUCCCACGAUUAACUUGGAACAUGAUUUGUUGUGAACAAAUAGCGGCGAAGGCGUCCCGAUACUUCAUUAUCGUAAUUAUUUCACCUGAUAUAUAUAAAAAUGAACUUAUUUGUUAUUAAAUGCGUACAUUGUAGUGUAACGAGUACAUUUUUGCGUAGGUUUACAAACUUUGUCGAGGGUUGAUGUUACUUCAGUUAAUUUUUGUCAAUUAAUGUGCCAACGUGUGGCGCUGCUAUUUGGUUUGUUUUAUUGUAAUUGUCAAUUGUUUUAUGUAUAUACAGAAAGCAUUUUUUCAUUAGUAUUGUCAAGUUAUUUGGUCAAUUCACACAUAAGUGCCCUUUUGUUGCUCACGGAAAUAGUUUUUGUGUUACUAUUUUAGCUUUUUACUCAUUAUAAUGCUCAAUAUUAUGGUCAUGAUAUUAGAUGAUUAAAAUUUC